rnacentral:rRNA from 1 species
GACGAACGCUGGCGGCGUGCUUAACACAUGCAAGUCGAACGGAAAGGCCCUGCUUUUGUGGGGUGCUCGAGUGGCGAACGGGGGAGUAACACGUGAGUAACCUGCCCUUGACUUUGGGAUAACUUCAGGAAACUGGGGCUAAUACCGGAUAGGAGCUCCUGCUGCAUGGUGGGGGUUGGAAAGUUUCGGCGGUUGGGGAUGGACUCGCGGCUUAUCAGCUUGUUGGUGGGGUAUUGGCUUACCAAGGCUUUGACGGGUAGCCGGCCUGAGAGGGGGGACGGCGACAUUGGGACUGAGAGACGCAGCAGACGCGUACGGGAGGCAGCAGUGGGGAAUAUGGCACAACGGGCGGAAGCCUGAUGCAGAAACGCCCGGUGCGGGAUGACGGCUUGCGGGUGGUAAACCGCUUUCGCCUGUGACGAAGCGUGAGUGACGGUAAUGGGUAAAGAAGCACCGGCUAACUACGUG